GCUGGCGGCGUGCUUAAUGCAUGCAAGUCGAACGAGAACCUUUUUUGUAGGUAACUACAGAGAGACUUCUAGUGGCGAACGGGUGAGUAACACGUGAGAAACCUGCCCCGAAGACCGGGAUAGCCCAUGGAAACGUGGAUUAAUACCGGAUACCCUCACGGAAUCGCAUGGUUCUGUGAGGAAAUGCUCCGGCGCUUUGGGAUGGUCUCGCGGCCUAUCAGCUUGUUGGUGAGGUAACGGCUCACCAAGGCACUGACGGGUAGCUGGUCUGAGAGGACGAUCAGCCACACUGGGACUGAGACACGGCCCAGACUCCUACGGGAGGCAGCAGCAGGGAAUAUUGCACAAUGGGCGCAAGCCUGAUGCAGCGACGCCGCGUGAGGGAUGAAGGCUUUCGGGUUGUAAAGCACUUUCAGCAGGGAGGAGGGCUUACCCCUAAUACGGGUGAGUACUUGACGUUACCUGCAGAAGAAGCACCGGCUAAUUUCGUG
rnacentral:rRNA from 1 species